GACGAACGCUGGCGGCGUGCUUAACACAUGCAAGUCGAACGGAAAGGCCCUGCUUUUGUGGGGUGCUCGAGUGGCGAACGGGUGAGUAACACGUGAGUAACCUGCCCUUGACUUUGGGAUAACUUCAGGAAACUGGGGCUAAUACCGGAUAGGAGCUCCUGCUGCAUGGUGGGGGUUGGAAAGUUUCGGCGGUUGGGGAUGGACUCGCGGCUUAUCAGCUUGUUGGUGGGGUAGUGGCUUACCAAGGCUUUGACGGGUAGCCGGCCUGAGAGGGUGACCGGCCACAUUGGGACAGAAAGACGGCCCAGACUGCUACGGGAGGCAGCAGUGGGGAGUGUUGCACAAUGGGCGGAAGCCUGAUGCGGCAGCGCCGCGUGCGGGAUGGCGGCCUUCGGGGGUUGAACAGCUUUCGCCUGAGAAGAAGCGUGAGUGACGGUGAUGGGUAAAGAAGCACCGGCUAACUAAGUG
rnacentral:rRNA from 1 species